CAGAUUGGCCAAGUUUUGCUACUUAACUUUUCUUAGCAUAAUUACCUGUUAUUGGUGCUGGGGGAAAGAGAGUUUGGUGCAAAGGACAGAGCAGUGUUAGACUAGUGUUUAACAGACCAAGAUUCCAUUAAAGAGUUCGGAUGAGAAUGGAAGUUUUCUGAUUGCUCGGUAGUCAUAUCAGAAACACACUCAUCAAUAACCCCAGUGCCCUCUUCUCAUCCUCAGCUCACAAUGACAGAUAUCAAGAAAAGCAGACUACAUUUCAAAAUACCACCUGUCCUCUUGGCAGGGAAGAAAACCUCAUUGAAAAGUCAAGAUCUUGACAUCAUAAAAGACCAAAAUUAGAAAAGAAUGAAGUAGAAGAGUUUUUGAAUAAGAAACAAAAUGUCUAGACCAACAAAGAA